GACGAACGCUGGCGGCGUGCUUAACACAUGCAAGUCGAACGGAAAGGCCUCUUUCGGGGGGUACUCGAGUGGCGAACGGGUGAGUAACACGUGAGUAACCUGCCCUUGACUUUGGGAUAACUUCAGGAAACUGGGGCUAAUACCGGAUAGGAGCUCCUGCUGCAUGGUGGGGGUUGGAAAGUUUCGGCGGUUGGGGAUGGACUCGCGGCUUAUCAGCUUGUUGGUGGGGUAGUGGCUUACCAAGGCGUUGACGGGUAGCCGGCCUGAGAGGGUGACCGGCCACAUUGGGACUGAGAUACGGCCCAGACACCUACGGGAGGAAGCAGUGGGGAAUAUUGCACAAUGGGUGGAGGCCUGAUGCAGCAACGCCGUGUGCGGGAUGACGGCCUUCGGGUUGUAAACCGCUUUCGCUCAUGACGAAGCUUUGUGUGACGGUAGUGGGUAAAGAAGCACCGGCUAACUACGUG
rnacentral:rRNA from 1 species